GUGCCUCAAUGGGCUCUACCACAAUGGGCAGAUCACUUUUGUUUUGUGCCUUAAUGGGCUCUACCACAAUGGGUAGAUCAAUAAUUUUUGCCUCAAUGGGCUCUACCGCAAUGGGCAGAUCAAUAGUUUUUGCCUCAAUGGGCUCUACCACAAUGGGCAGAUCAAUAAUUUUUGCCUCAAUAAGCUCUACCACAAUGGGCAGAUCGCUUUUCUUUUGUGCGUCAAUGGGCUCUACGGCCUCUACCACAAUGGGUAAAUCAAUGUUACUUUCCACCACAAUGGGCAGAUUAAUGUUUAUACUUUGUGCACUACUUGUUUGUCACAUCAGAUCAAUCUCAUACAAAAACAUGUUCCUACAACAUGAAACACUGACAACUUUUGGUAAGUUAUCUACAGACAAGAACUCAAUACUUGGUUCUAAGACAAUUAAGCCGUUAUUCAGAGCUCUUAAGUACAUUUUGUCCUCUUG
rnacentral:lncRNA from 1 species